AUGUGGAUGGCAGGGGCCCAAGCACUUGGGCCUUCAUCCACUGCUUUCCCAGGCUCCUUAGUAGGAAUGCUGGAUCCGAAGUGGAGCAGCCGGGACUUGAACCAGUGCUCACAGGGGAUGACGGUGUAUACUGCACCACAGCUGGGGUCCUGCCUACCACACUUUGCUGCCCUGGCAUCCUGGCCAUGCCCAGGUGGCUGUGAACAGACACAGUGUGCACCCUGGAUCGCCAAAAGAACCACAGAAGCACCAUGGGGUCUGUGUGUCCACCUCUUCCCCUCUGUGUGGCCAAGAACUGUCGAGGUUCAGCUGUGGCCGUGCACUCGGCCACCACUCAGCCCACAGGGUCAUCUACAGGCAUCACAGCUUGCGCGGGGUGGCUGUGGUGCUCACACCAGACCCUCUCCUGCACGGAGGGCACGCCUCCUGGGCCUGUGCAUCUCGGAGAGACAAGGGCAGGCUUUGUCCCAGGAACUCCCUGAGCUGCUGGUUAAGAUCCCAUCCAAACAGAAGCAGGCAGGCAAGCAAAACGAGAGCUUCGAGAAGACAGAAGGCAGGAUGGGAGUUGAGGGGGGUGGGGAGGAGUCCCUCGGCUGGAGUGGCGGUGCGUGGAGAGAUCCGUCUGCUGGCUGGAUUCAGGGGGUGCUGGUUUUGCAAACAUGCCCAGAAAAGCUUUUGUCCACGUACUGCACCCUGAAGUGGAAAUGGGGUGCUUUUUGUGGAAGCACCCCCUUUCUUGGAGCUCAGCUUCUCCAGCCACAACGUUUGGUAAGACCUGCCAUUCACAGCACCCUCCUAGCUGCAGGAGGUGGGCACAUGACCCAAGCCAGCCAAUCAGAGUGGCCCUUCGCCUUGGGAAGGCGUGUGAUAGCCAGAUCAUUCCCUGGACAGGUGGGGGCUGCAGCAAGGAGGCCCUGUUGCCUGUGGGGGCCGCCCUGCUGGAAGAACGGGAUCUGGGUCUUGGAGUUGAUACUGGGGACAAAAGGGGGACACCCCAAUCAGCACGAGGAUAGGGACGGCCACCACAUAGGGACCCAAGUGUGCUCUGCACGAGAGCCAACGGCCCUUCCAGUUAGGGAGCAGGUGCGUGCUCGCCUGCUUCUGCGUACCUGA
rnacentral:lncRNA from 1 species